AGUGUGGCUCAGUUUGGUAGAGCGCUGCGUUCGGGACGCAGAGGUCGCAGGUUCAAAUCCUGUCACU
rnacentral:tRNA from 2 species